UUGAGUCUGAAUGGUUCAAGCAAUAGCAAAAAAGGAUUAUUUCUCUCUUGGACAUUUCAAAGUACUAUGCCACAAAAUAUCCAAGACUUGUUAUGCAGGAGGAGGCUUGCUCACAGGGUGGUUACAGGCAUCCAAGAGAGUCAGCAUAAAUGUGAAAAGUUUCCAAAAUAUCAGAUUCAGUCCUAUGUAAUCUGGUUUCCAUUGCAUUCUCUUGGCCAAAGCAACUUGCAAGACAAGUCCAAAUUCAAGAAGGUCAAGAAAUACACUCCAUCUCCAGGUAGGAGAAGCUGCAAAGAACUGUGACAAUCUAUGACAAAUAGUAUGUUCAAGGGGAAUAAUAUGGGAAGAUGUGCCCUCCACCAACUUCUCAGGGAAAAAUACAGCUUUUGUAAUAUUUAGUAAUAUAGACUGUCUAAUAUUUCUAGAGAUAUCUAUGACUUUGAGUUGAAAUAUCUGAGGCCAACACUCCAAGCAAUUUUAAACAAGUGGUGACAGAAAUUACCAGACACACAUCAAGACUCAAGUAUAAAGCUAUACAAUUUAAGGAUGCUCAGCAAAUGUUACUGAAUUGACUGGGUAGUCCCUAAAGAGCUGAAGAAUAAAAGAUGUUAUGAGAAACCCAACAAUACCAAAUAUAAAUUGCCUCAGGUUAUGAAAUAUUCAAUAAAGUAUUCUUACUGUA